GGAGAUAUGGAAAAAGUGAGGUGUGCCCAUGUUGCCGACCGUGGCCAUGGAUAACUCAGGACGGUGCAUUUGCUGGGCAAGGCUGGCCGUCGGCUAAGACAAGAAGACCUUCACAUGGUCUGAUGACUGGAGGUGCAAGGGAGACCUAGAAGAAAUGGGGCAGCCCAGGGUGCCGAGCAUGGUUGUGGAUCACUCGGGACAGUGGAGUGCCAGGGAAUGAAGGCCAGUGACAGCGUGUGACCAUCUGCAUAUUCUGUAAUACCCAGCGAGUCAAGGAAGGCGCAGC